rnacentral:lncRNA from 1 species
UUUAUGGAAUUAUUUCAAAUAAUUAUGGCCAUUUCAAUAAUUAUCUAUUUCAAGCCGUUAUUACCUUUUGUAUGGUCAUAUAACAAAUAUUUUUUAUCAUUCAAGCUCAUUAAGAAUAAAAUUAUACUAAUUUAUUAAUAUUUCAAAAUUUAAUAUGUAAGCCAUUUAAAAAGUAAAUCUGUUUGUCGAACUAGUUUAAAUAGUUAUGACUAUUUGAGUAAUUGUAUAUUUCAAAUUAUUUUAACCUUUUGUUCUCUCACCAAACAUUUAUUUUUGUUCAUACAAGAAGGCAUUAGUUGGUAUAUUGAGUUCAUGAGAGCAGCUUGGGAUAAGCCUACCAUUUGCACCAGGCGCACUGCGUUUUCCCUUGCCCAGAUGUUCGCCUUUCUAAGUCAAGUAAUGGUGACCCGCCGAAGACUGGAGCCUCGUAACAUGUUGACGAAGACCUUCAAACUAAGCCAUAAAGAGAAAAGUCUGACCCAGAAAGCCAAAAUAAAUAAAAUAAAAUAAAAUAAUACCAAACAGGAUUAGGUCAGCUUUAAGCACAGAAGGCAGCUCCAUAGAAUACUAAUCUAGUAAUAUUCUAAAAAUUAAUAACUAAGAGAAUUAAAAAAAAUUUGUUUGUCGAACCAGUUCAAAUAUUUAAGACUUUACGAACAAUUAUCUAUUUUAAAACAUUAUGACCUUUUGUUUUGUGAUAAAACAAAUUUUCAAUUCAUACUAGCUUAUUUAGAAUAAAAUAAAAUGAAUUUGUUAAUAUUUCAAAAAUUAAUAAGUAAGAGAUUUAAAAAAGUAUUUCUGUUUACCUAACUAGUUCAAAUAAUUAUAACUAUUUGAACAAU